ACCUAGUUAAAUCCUGAGACAUUACCUGGUUGUAACCUGGUUAUAUCCUGAGACAUUACCCAGUUAUAACCUGGUUAUAACCUAGUUAUAUCCUGAGACAUUACCUGGUUAUAACCUGGUUAUAACCUGGUUAUGUCCUGAAACAUUAC